UGGGGAAUUUUGCGCAAUGGGCGAAAGCCUGACGCAGCGACGCCGCGUGUACGAUGAAGGCCUUUGGGUCGUAAAGCACUGUGGGGAGGGACGAACAUGCGCAUGAGGAAAUGCUUGCGCACUGACGGUACCUCCUUAGCAAGCACCGGCUAACUCUGUGCCAGCAGCCGCGGUAAUACAGAGGGUGCGAACGUUGCUCGGAUUUACUGGGCGUAAAGCGCGUGUAGGCGGACUCGCAAGUCGGUUGUGAAAUCCCUGGGCUCAACCUAGGAACUGCAUCCGAAACUGCUUGUCUUGAGUAAUGGAGAGGGUGGCGGAAUUCCCGGUGUAGAGGUGAAAUUCGUAGAUAUCGGGAGGAACAUCAGUGGCGAAGGCGGCCACCUGGACAUUCACUGACGCUGAGACGCGAAAGCGUGGGGAGCAAACAGGAUUAGAUACCCCCGUAGUCC
rnacentral:rRNA from 1 species